GCGGCUGCCAGCGCCGCCGCAGGAGCGGCCGACACCGCCGGAAAGCUAGCGCGCGGGCCUAACCCUCUCGUUGACACCGCGCAGAACCAGCUCCGGGCCUCGGAGAUCUUAAAGACCAAGGGGGCCGCCGUUCUGGCCAGAGCCGAUGAGUUACGCAAGCAGCUGGAGGGCGCGCAGCGGGGCGUGGACGUGGUCAGCGUGGAGCUGCGCGCGCUCGGCUGGAAGGAGCGCGCGCUGGCCGGCGGACAAGCCGACAGCAACGCAGUGCGCGAGGAGCUGUCGCGAGCGGGCGUGCAGGCGGACCGCGUGUUCGUGCGGGCGCGUGCGCUGUACGACGAGGCGGCGGAGCUGCG